rnacentral:rRNA from 1 species
UACGUAGGGGGCUAGCGUUGUCCGGAAUCAUUGGGCGUAAAGCGCGUGUAGGCGGUCCGGUAAGUCCGCUGUGAAAGUCGAGGGCUCAACCCUCGAAUGCCGGUGGAUACUGUCGGGCUAGAGUGCGGAAGAGGCGAGUGGAAUUCCUGGUGUAGCGGUGAAAUGCGCAGAUAUCAGGAGGAACACCUAUUGCGAAGGCAGCUCGCUGGGACGGUACUGACGCUGAGACGCGAAGCGUGGGAGCGAACAGG